GCUUGAAUAGUUUAAUUAAAAUUGUAAUUUGUGGAUUUAUAGAUGUAAGUAUUACUUUAAGCC
rnacentral:tRNA from 2 species